UGGCGACAUGGCCGAGU
rnacentral:tRNA from 1 species